UACGGGGGGGGCAAGCGUUGUUCGGAAUUACUGGGCGUAAAGGGCUCGUAGGCGGCCAACUAAGUCGGAUGUGAAAUCCCCAGGCUUAACCUGGGAACUGCAUCCGAUACUGGAUGGCUUGAAUUCGGGAGAGGAUAGCGGAAUUCCCAGUGUAGAGGUGAAAUUCGUGGAUAUUGGGAAGAACACCGGUGGCGAAGGCGGCUAUCUGGACCGACAUUGACGCUGAGGCGCGAAAGCGUGGGGAGCAAACAGG
rnacentral:rRNA from 1 species